rnacentral:lncRNA from 12 species
UCUGUUUAAAUUUUUGACAUUUUAUUCACCAUGGAUUUUUUUUUUUUUUACAUCAAUUUGGAGUUUUCAAAACAUGACGUUAAAAUGGAAUUGUCCUGGUGAGUCUUCGGUGCCCGUUCACAUUUGGGCGUGAGCCGAGCGUCUCCCUCUCCCUGCCCAGGCCCUGGCUCCGUGGGAAGCCUUCCCUCUGCGCUUGCCCUGCUCCUCUGGGAGUCUGUCCCGCGGCUUUGUCACAUGCUCAACAUCUGCCUGUCUCCACCACCAAACUGUGAGCUCCCUGGGGGCAGGACGUUUCUUGUAAGUUCAUUUCUAUACCUAGAGCCUGGAUACAGGCUGUGCCAGCGGCAGGCUGUCGCAGACCAACCCGCUCUUGUCCAAUCCUCCCUUCCACACUGAAAGAACAGAGCCAGAGAACCCAGUCUCCCUGCCUGCCCUCCCCACGUCCUAGAAAGUAAAACAAAGAAGUAACCUACGUUCCUUUUAGCUCCCAGGGAAAGCUGCAUGGAGGCUGAGAGGCAUCGUGGGCCCUGCCAGGCUAUAUCUUCCGGCCUGGCCUGGGCUGGCUGGGCAGCGGGGGGUUUUGCCUCGGGGAGGAGACAGCCCCUUCUAUGCCCAGUGUCCCUGGAUUCAGAGCAGGUGCCACCAGAACCCCCAGCUUUGAGAUAUUAGUGUGAACGUCUCAGGCAUGUGGUGGAGAGGCUCACAGGAGGCGGCUCCAGGGAGUCUGGGUCUGGAAUAUUCCACCUAUGUCUGUCACAGGUGGAAGAGGAUGAGUGUACCCAGGCCCCUCCCUGUGCCAGUGACGGUUGUAGCUGAGAGACUGGGGCUCUGGAUCCCACCCAGCCUACGGCUGGUCCUCCCCACCCGAUGCUGUGCCCUCCUUCUGUUGCUUUGCCCCAAAGCCCAGGGCAGAUGCUGUCUCCCCAUCACUGUCUUCGAGUAGGAGUGUGCACAAGACACCAGCAAGAGAAGGAACUCAAAAGCUUUGCAGGCAAUAGAACACCUCAUUUUGUUUCUCUUUUCAGGGCUGCAGACUGUGCUGGGUCAGCGGGAAGGGUGCCAGGCUCUGCUCGGAAUGCCCUGGUGACAGGUGAUCUGCCGGUUUGCAUUCGAGGGGCUGUUCCUGCUUCAACGGCCUUCCCAGGACGCCCCCACGGGCCUGGUUUAUCAGAGAAUGCACCUGCCCAGAGAGAGCAGGGGACUGUGCCCACGGACCGGCUGAAGCCCCGGGCCUCACUGCCCCAGCUGAGAGCAGAGGCAAGUGGAGGGCAGGGCCUGCCCGCGGGGAGGCAGGAAGGCCUGGCACUCUCCCUGCCCUGUCCCGGGCCCGGGCCCUGUUCCAGGCCUCUCCAGAAGGGACUCCCCACCAGAGCUGUACAUCCAGGAAAGAUCCUACAAGGUCCGGGCCUGUGAGGACAAGUCCAUGGAAGACUCUAGGACAUUUAUGUCUCCCAGCAACCCAAGUCACUCUCCAUCCCACGGCCUGGCUCAGUCCAUCCCCUGUCAAGUGUUGCUCAGGAUCAGAAAAGCAAAACUCCAGGAGGAAUGCACUACCUUUCGGGCCUUUGGAGUGGCAGAGAGAGGAAGGCUAGGUGUGGAGCGCCACCGCUGGUGCUUACCACCUUGGCCAGGUAGGGGCUGGAGGGCACUGGGGAAGGAGAUGGGGCCCAGCAGCGUGCACGGCCGGGCCUCUCAGAGAAACCGUCUACCAGAACCUGCCCUGCAUUCAUUCAGGAAGUAGCCCCUCCAGUAGGUCGGGGGCGGGGGGACCCUCACCUUGGAAUACAGAGUGUUCCCCAAAUGCAGCACACAUGCAUGCACCCUAUUGCUUCUGUUUCUCUGGAGAACCUAAUAUUGGUCUAAGACACAGGUGCAGGAAGACUGAGGUGUCUGCCCCCCACUUUACCUCUGCACCCCAGGGCCCAGAGUUGUCUCCAUCGUGGCAAAGCCAUAGGUGUCCUCCUGCCAGGACUUAGCUGGAUCUUGGCUCUUUUGUCCUAACUUGCUUCUGGAAUGUCCUGCAAGGGGACGCAGAGUCUGUUCCAUCCCCUCAGCUCCAGGCCCAGAACUUUCCUCCCAUUGCCUCUUACCAGCUGCCUUCUCCCACCCCUCAGCUGCAUUUGGGGUGCAGCAGCUCCACCAGCACUCGGUCUUCUCCCAUGACCACACUGAGCCGUGCCCACCUUUCAGCCCCGGCCUCCUGGUGCUCUGACCCACCCCCCAGGGCCUCACAACGGGCCACACAGAGAAGACAGCUUUUGAAUGAAGAUUUCAGCCCUCCACGGGGAGCAUGGGCAGGGUUGCAGG